rnacentral:rRNA from 1 species
GAUGAACGCUGGCGGCGUGCCUAAUACAUGCAAGUCGAGCGAACAGAUAAGGAGCUUGCUCCUUUGAAGUUAGCGGCGGACGGGUGAGUAACACGUGGGUAACCUACCUAUAAGACUGGGAUAACUUCGGGAAACCGGAGCUAAUACCGGAUAACAUUUAGAACCGCAUGGUUCUAAAGUGAAAGAUGGUUUUGCUAUCACUUAUAGAUGGACCCGCGCCGUAUUAGCUAGUUGGUAAGGUAACGGCUUACCAAGGCGACGAAACGUAGCCGACCUGAGGGGGUGAUCGGCCACACUGGAACUGGGACACGGUCCAGACUCCUACGGGAGGCAGCAGUAGGGAAUCUUCCGCAAUGGGCGAAAGCCUGACGGAGCAACGCCGCGUGAGUGAUGAAGGGUUUCGGCUCGUAAAACUCUGUUGUUAGGGAAGAACAAAUUUGUUAGUAACUGAACAAAUCUUGACGGUACCUAACCAGAAAGCCACGGCUAACUACGUGCCAGCCGCCGCGGUAA